UAGUCCACGCCCUAAACGAUGUCAACUAGUCGUUGGGCUCAUUAAGGAGCUUAGUGACGCAGCUAACGCGUUAAGUUGACCGCCUGGGGAGUACGGCCGCAAGGUUGAAACUCAAAGGAAUUGACGGGGGCCCGCACAAGCGGUGGAGCAUGUGGUUUAAUUCGAUGCAACGCGAAGAACCUUACCAGCCCUUGACAUCCUGGGAAUUUUGUAGAGAUACAUUAGUGCCUUCGGGAAUCCAGUGACAGGUGCUGCAUGGCUGUCGUCAGCUCGUGUCGUGAGGUGUUGGGUUAAGUCCCGCAACGAGCGCAACCCUCGCCAAUAGUUGCCAGCAUUUAGUUGGGCACUCUAUUGGAACUGCCGGUGAUAAACCGGAGGAAGGUGGGGAUGACGUCAAGUCCUCAUGGCCCUUACGGAGUGGGCUACACACGUGCUACAAUGGUGGUGACAAUUGGAUAAUCCUAAAAAACCAUCUCAGUUCGGAUUGGGGUCUGCAACUCGACCCCAUGAAGUUGG
rnacentral:rRNA from 1 species